UUCUGAGCUUCUCACGUUAACAAUGUACAGUUCUUUGUCUUCAGCGGAAUCAGAAGCAGUCUUCUCCAUCUCCCGGCGACGUCGUUUCUGGCGCUCUCUAGCUUUGUGAUUCUGGAACCAGUAGAAUACAUUCUUCCCUUCGAUCUUGCCAAAACGACGUAGCUGCGAAGCUAUUUGCUGUAUCUGUUCAGCCGUCGGUGUCUUCGUACCUUGUCUAAACAGUUCUUCAAGCACAAGUAACUGUGCUGGCGUUGGACUCCACCUCGAGCUUUGCUGAGAUUGCCCAUGCAACCCCUUACUUUGUUUUUAGUGGAUGUCCAAGCUUCUCAUGAUAAUUAAGCACAUAUUAACAAAACCCAAAAAAAGAAUGAGACUUGAGAGAAUCUGGCUUACCCAGAGGAUGAUUCAAAGAGUUAAGAUUGGUGCAGUGGGUGCAAAUGCAGAAAGGUAUGAUUUUGGGAGGUGCGGAAGAAUUGAUGGUGGAAUUUGCAGUACUGAGAGAGUGAAGCUUGAAGGCACUGAAUGGAUCAGACAUAUUCUCUAGGAACAAGAUCACCAGGUCACUACAACUGCCAAAAAGAGAGAAGAUAUAUGGUGAUGUGAGUGAAUGAUACAGAUGAUGUUUGAGCAAGGAAGAAGGGGCGUAUUUGUAGGAACAGAAAACGUUGUAGUAAAAGCUUUAGGUGGAGCAGCAAGCAACGAAAAGUUAGUUGACCACUCCAUCUGAUGAUACAGAAACCAAAUGUUCAAAUCAUGAGUGAGAGAAAGAGAUAGAGAGACAGAGAGAGUGGGAAAAUAGAAGCGUGGAACUGAGAGAUGUCGAGGAUCAAGCUGUACAAAAGGACAAGACCAUUAUGAUUAUGAUGUGCAAAUUAAAGUUGUUGCAUCUUUCGAGUU